UUGAUAGAGGCGCGGAGACGAUGAGUACCCACCAGAGCCGGCAGGCUGUGAGGGUGGGGAAAGGCACAUUCGCCGAACUGCCUGCGCAGGCGUGCGCGGGUGGUGGGUCUGCGGUGAACAGCCGCAGGACUGUCUGCAAUGUAUU
rnacentral:ncRNA from 1 species